rnacentral:rRNA from 1 species
AGCGAACGCUGGCGGCAGGCUUAACACAUGCAAGUCGAACGGGCACUUCGGUGCUAGUGGCCGACGGGUGAGUAACACGUGGGAACGUACCUUUCGGUUCGGAAUAAUCCAGGGAAACUUGGACUAAUACCGGAUACGCCCUUCGGGGGAAAGAUUCAUCGCCGAUAGAUCGACCCGCGUCUGAUUAGCUAGUUGGUGAGGUAAUGGCUCACCAAGGCGACGAUCAGUAGCUGGUCUGAGAGGAUGAUCAGCCACAUUGGGACUGAGACACGGCCCAAACUCCUACGGGAGGCAGCAGUGGGGAAUAUUGGACAAUGGGCGCAAGCCUGAUCCAGCCAUGCCGCGUGAGUGAUGAAGGCCUUAGGGUUGUAAAGCUCUUUUGUCCGGGAAGAUAAUGACUGUACCGGAAGAAUAAGCCCCGGCUAACUUCGUG